GUAGACGUUCAUCCUAAGAUUCGAGAGAAUCCCAAUUUCUUCCCAUAUUUCAAGAAAGCAUUGGGAGCAAUUGAUGGAUCUCAUAUUCCUGUAAUUGUGAAGAAAAAGAAACACAACAGCAUCUGAUAUGUCAGUUCUUCGUGCAACAUUGGAAG